CGGGUGGAUCCGCAAAGUCGGCUUGCGAAAUUCAGCUCGGAAGGCCGGUGCGGGCGUCUUGUUCGAGAUCUCUUUUGCGGACUCGCCAGGCGUUCGGCUGCCGGUCUGACGUGUGCACUUUUCGCGGGCAGAGCGCCACGACCGGUUCUCGGGCAGUCAGAAGGCGGCGGGGAAGGUAGGCGGGCGCUUCGGUGCUUGCUGUUAUAGCCUCGCCUGUCCUGAGCUGCACCGCGGGGACCGAGGAGCCGCCGCUCGGCUCGUAGCUACCCUGCUCUCCCGGGGCGGAUUCGACUGGCAGGGACUGGGCAACCGUGUCUGCCGACUGCCCUCCGGGACAGAUCGGGGGUGUACCGUUAGCUGGCCGGGCACAGGGUCGGUGGCGAAUCGGUCGGCACUCCACCCGACCCGUCUUGAAACACGGACCAAGGAGUCUAACAUGCGCGCGAGUCGUUGGGUUGUACGAAACCCGAAGGCGGAGUGAAAGCGAGGGCCGUUCUAGCGACGUGCUCAGGUGGGAUCCCCGGUUUGCGGGGCGCACCACCGGCCCGUCUCGUUCGCGCUGUCGAGGAGGCGGAGCAAGAGCGUGCACGUUGGGACCCGAAAGAUGGUGAACUAUGCCUGAGUAGGAUGAAGCCAGAGGAAACUCUGGUGGAGGUCCGCAGCGAUUCUGACGUGCAAAUCGAUCGUCAAACUUGGGUAUAGGGGC
rnacentral:rRNA from 1 species